UUAAACUGUAUGUGUGGAAGUGU
rnacentral:piRNA from 1 species